UACGUAGGGAGCAAGCGUUGUUCGGAUUUACUGGGCGUAAAGGGCGCGUAGGCGGCAUUGCAAGUGGAAGGUGAAAUCCCUCGGCUUAACCGAGGAACUGCCCUCCAACUGCGUUGCUUGAGUACGGGAGAGGAUAGUGGAAUUCCCAGUGUAGAGGUGAAAUUCGUAGAUAUUGGGAAGAACACCGGUGGCGAAGGCGGCUAUCUGGACCGUAACUGACGCUG
rnacentral:rRNA from 1 species